GACGUAGGGGGCGAGCGUUGUCCGGAAUCACUGGGCGUAAAGCGCGCGCAGGCGGCGAUCUACGUCUGGGGUGAAAGCCCGGAGCUCAACUCCGGGACUGCCUUGGAUACGGGAUCGCUUGAGGAUUGGAGAGGCAAGGGGAAUUCCACGUGUAGCGGUGAAAUGCGUAGAUAUGUGGAGGAACACCUGUGGCGAAGGCGCCUUGCUGGCCAAUUUCUGACGCUGAGGCGCGAAAGCGUGGGGAGCAAACAGG
rnacentral:rRNA from 1 species